rnacentral:rRNA from 1 species
CCUACGGGUGGCAGCAGUGGGGAAUAUUGGACAAUGGGCGAAAGCCUGAUCCAGCCAUGCCGCGUGUGUGAAGAAGGCCUUCGGGUUGUAAAGCACUUUCAGUGGGGAAGAAAGCCUUGGGGCUAAUACCCUCGAGGAAGGACAUCACCCACAGAAGAAGCACCGGCUAACUCCGUGCCAGCAGCCGCGGUAAUACAGGAGGGUGCGAGCGUUAAUCGGAAUUACUGGGCGUAAAGCGCGCGUAGGCGGUCUGAUAAGCCGGUUGUGAAAGCCCCGGGCUCAACCUGGGAACGGCAUCCGGAACUGUCAGGCUAGAGUGCAGGAGAGGAAGGUAGAAUUCCCGGUGUAGCGGUGAAAUGCGUAGAGAUCGGGAGGAAUACCAGUGGCGAAGGCGGCCUUCUGGACUGACACUGACGCUGAGGUGCGAAAGCGUGGGUAGCAAACAGGAUUAGAUACCCCUGUAGUC